UACGUAGGCAGCGAGCGUUGUUCGGAAUUACUGGGCGUAAAGAGUGUGUAGGCGGCGCUCUAAGUUCGGUGUGAAAUCUCUCGGCUUAACUGGGAGGUGCGCCGGAAACUGGAGUGCUCGAACGUGGGAGAGGAAAGCGGAAGUUCCUGGUGUAGCGGUGAAAUGACGUAGAUAUCAGGAGGAACACCUGCGGUGUAGACGGCUUUCUGGACCAUUGUUGACGCUGAGACACGAAAGCGUGGGUAGCAAACAGG
rnacentral:rRNA from 1 species